CCUACGGGUGGCAGCAGUGAGGAAUAUUGGUCAAUGGACGAGAGUCUGAACCAGCCAAGUAGCGUGAAGGAUGACUGCCCUAUGGGUUGUAAACUUCUUUUAUAAAGGAAUAAAACGAGGCACGUGUGCCUUUUUGCAUGUACUUUAUGAAUAAGGAUCGGCUAACUCCGUGCCAGCAGCCGCGGUAAUACGGAGGAUCCGAGCGUUAUCCGGAUUUAUUGGGUUUAAAGGGAGCGUAGAUGGGUUGUUAAGUCAGCGGUGAAAGUUUGUGGCUCAACCGUAAAAUUGCGUUUGAUACUGGAAGACUGGAGUGUGUGUGAGGUAGGCGGAAGGCGUGGUGUAGCGGUGCAAGGCA
rnacentral:rRNA from 1 species